GAUCGACAGGAUCAGGUGUUGAUGUGGGCGAGAGGGUCUGUUUGUGUGUUUCCACAGGACCAGAUGGAACCUCUUUGGGUGCCGGAGAGAUUGAUGAGACGCUGCAAGAAUGAGGCUCCUGAUCCAGUUGCCCCUGUGGAUGUGGUGGAUGGUCCCACAAACACAAACGAUGGAGCAGAGAUGGGAGAUCCUUUCAGUGUUCCAGAAGCCGAUACCAGCUCGACAUGA
rnacentral:lncRNA from 1 species